GUCCUGCAGCCGCGCGGGGCCGGGCCGGGCCGGGCCGGGGCUGCGGGGCCGGCCUCCCGCGCUCGCUCGGUCCUCCCAGGCGGGCUGGGGCUGGUCUCUGACUCAUCGGCAGUCACACGCGCGCGCACGCACACUCACACUCACACGCGCGCACGCCCGGCCCUGGGGAGCCGGACCCGGCCGCCCGGAGGGGUCGCCGGGGACGCGUCCGGAGCCCCGGGCCGCGCGCCCCCAAGGACCCCCCCGCCCCCCGCGCUGCGCCGGCCGCGCGCGUCCGGGGCGCCCCCCUCCGGGUCCCCCAACUCCGGCGACCACCCCGCCAGUUCUGCAAGUUUCUCGGCACCGCGGGGCCUGCGCCCCCCGCCCCCCCGCCCGCCUCGCCCCCCAGCCGCCCUCCGCGCGCCGUGCGCUCCCCGGGGGCCCCGCGGCGGUCCGGCCCCAGCUCGCCGCCUCCCGCCGCCUCCCGCCGCCUCCCGGGCUGCUGCUGCUGCUGCCGCCGCGGCGGAGGAGCUGCUCCGGGGCUCCCGGGCUCGGUGGCCGCGGCGCCUCCGCGGAGCCCUCGCCGUGAGCCGGGGCUUCGGCCGGCAACUCCUAGUUUGGGGAGCUCCGUCCCCUGGACACUGGGGAAUAGCUCUUGCACCCCCUGAACCCCGAGCACACUCCCGUCUCCCCAGGUUACCCGGGGCCGCCCAACCCCCGUCUCCUUCCCCCCUCCGGCGUCUACCGCCGGCUUCCCGGGCCCUCCGCCCCGGAGCCACACCGACAUGCACACCUACAGGCCGGCGGCGGGGAGCGUCGAGGGCACGAUGCAGCCGGACUGCAUUGCACAGUCAUCAAAGGCCGUGUUUCUUUGACUUAAAGACUUCCACUGGUCUCCACUUCCACUCUGUCACCCUAGGCCCGUCCACUGUCCUCUCGCCAGGACCUUACAGGAGACUCCUAACAGGUGCAUCUGCAUCCAUUCUUGCCCUACCCCCACCCCUGCCCCAACCAGCCAUCCUUCCCCCUCUGCAAACGGGAUCAUCUUUCCAUUUGCUUCCCCUCGGUGAUCGUGGCUUCCCUUGCUCGUUGGGUCAAAGCCCAAAUCCGUAAAACCGCCCUUCCAAACCCCUCCAGCCUAGCCACCCACAGCUGACCCAAGUCUGGCACAGUUUUCUAGGAUCCCAUGUGGCCUACAAAGCCACAAGGCCCAUCAGCGUCACCAUCCAGUCCUACCAUAUACCUCUCCAAUGUCAUCCUAAGUCACGUUCUCCUGGGACGCCUGGGUGGUCCCUGGAUCGAGGCCCGCAUCCGGUUCCCCGCGGGGAGCCCGCUUCUCCCUCUGCCUGCGUCUCUGCCUCUGUGUGUCUCUCAGGAAUAAAUAAAUUUAAAAAAUCCUUUUUAAAAAAAUCAAAUAAAAUAAGUCCUUUCCUCCUCUGCUCCUUCUCUCGGUCUCUCAGCACACACGCCCAAGUCCCACAGACAUCAGACUCCUCCACCGGAGUGUCGCUUUGCCCUCCCCGCCCCCGCCCCGUUGUUCCAUGUGCCUCGAAUGCCUUUUCCAUCCUUUUGCCUGGCAAAGACCUUCUCAAAGUCUAGCUUGGAAGUCACCUUUUUGGGAGACAGGCCUUUGUCACAGCCCCAAGAGGAAACGCCCCGUGUGUCUCUUCUCCCCGUUUCCACCGCUCCUCCGGUCCAUUUCCCACCGGCCAAUCUCAUUCGCUUUGAUUUUCCCCACCUAGCACAGCACCUGCUCGAUAAAAGUUGACUGAACAAGGCAAAAUAAACUUAAAAAAAAAAAAAAAGCAAUCCCCUACACAGAAAGCAGUAAUAAAGAAAAUGUGCUCUACUAGCACCUUGAGACCUCAAUUAAUGUGCUUUUCUCCUCGCGAAUCCUUGCUUCCAAGCAAACAGAACCUGACAGCCUGAAUUAAAUCAUUUAUCUUUCUAGUUCUCUGCCUUGGCUCUCACGCUGGUGGAAGAGCCCUGAUAUUUCAUAAGAAAAUGCCAAAAACAAAGGCUACGGCCCAGCACCUUGGCUUUAUCAGCUUGCCAAGCCCGUCUGCAGGCCGACAGGAGAUGGGUUCCUCUCCCCGUCCCUCGCGCACCGAGGCUCAGCUCGACGCCCCAUUUCUGUCUUCGGUCAUGUUGGUUUGGGUCCAGGAACCCCGAAGGGCCCACCUCUGCGAGCGCCCCAGCCCCGCCGCGGGGCCCGUGCGGGGAUCACACACCUGCUACAGCCUUCUAGACCGGAGCACGAGUCUUCCGCUGAACGUGAUGUUCUGGUGCCUUCUGAUCGGCUGUGGAGCCUUGUGAUGCAGGGUGACCCACGGGUCCUUGACCUCGGGCCGGUGAGGAAACAAGACUAUCUCCACUCGGCGCCCCCUCCCAUAUAAUUAAAUACCUGGAUGAAGUUUUCUCCGGUUCCGCGUUCGGAGCCAAACAGCGCUUGUUUGCAUUCCAUCAUCAUAUAUAAACACCCGCAGGCCAGGACGGUUUAGCUUGGCCCUGCUGUCGCCAGACCCUUAAAUCGGGGCCGCCGGAAUGGCAUUUACGGCCUCAGAAGGGCCUCCGGUUGUGAAGCCUGCAGUGUUUAUUUUUCUUUAAAUAACAAAAACACCCUGGUUACCGGCCACCGCCUGGAAAGGGGGAACCGGGCCGCUGCAGCCACUCUGUAGGUGGCUGCUCUAGGGCUCCAGUGUCUUUCCUCUCUGCCCCUUUGUCUCAGAGCAGCUGAGUAGUCACCAAGAAGGGGGGGGGGGCCACCACCGGGGGACCUGGUCACCCGGCAGCUCCUGGCCGCUCCUGGGUGAGGAUGAGGCUCCCGGCCCCACAGUUUGUGAUGAGGCUCCAGGCUACACAGGCCCGGCUGGGGGCUGCCUCCCGGGAUGCUGGGCCCUCUGGGGGCAGAUGACUUGGCCUCUCUGGGCCCUGGAUUCCUUACCUGUGUAACCGCGGUGACAACACCUAUCUGGCGGGUGGGCCGGAGGAUUAAAUUGUGUAAUUGGUGACAGGGGCUGAGUGUAAAAGCAUUCAGUAAGCGUCAACUUACUGCGACCGGCCCGGAGGCCUCCUGUGCCCAAGCAGGACGGUGACAGGACCGAAACCGAGCCCACCUCCCCUACUCCCUGGAAAGGGUACCUCGUCCACUCUACUGUUUCACUAUUUUUUGUAAUAAACGACUUUUCUUGGUGUUACUGCGAUGCUAUGCAAAGUAAUGCAUGUUUGCUUAAAGGGCGAAAGAGAGGAAGGGGGGCAAAGGGGGG
rnacentral:lncRNA from 1 species